rnacentral:misc_RNA from 1 species
GAUGAAGAACGUAGCGAAAUGCGAUACGUAAUGUGAAUUGCAGAAUUCAGUGAAUCAUCGAAUCUUUGAACGCAUAUUGCGCUCUCUGGUAUUCCGGAGAGCAUGCUUGUUUGAGUAUCAGUAAACACCUCAACUUCCAUAUCUUUUUUGAAAUGGGAGUUGGACUUGAGUGAUCCCAACGCUUUUCCUCACCGAAAAGUGGCGGGUUACUUGAAAUGCAGGUGCAGCUGGACUUUUCUCUGAGCUAUAAGCAUAUCUAUUUAGUCUGCCUAAAAAACAGAUUAUUACCUUUGCUGCAGCUAACAUAAAGGAGAUUAGUUCUUGUGCUGACUGAUGCAGGAUUCACAAAGACGGCUUCGGCCGACCUUGUAAACUCGAUCUCAAAUCAAGUAAGACUACCCGCUGAACUUAAGCAUAUCAAUAAGCGGAGGA